AUUGAACGCUGGCGGCAGGCCUAACACAUGCAAGUCGAGCGGAUGAAGGGAGCUUGCUCCUGGAUUCAGCGGCGGACGGGUGAGUAAUGCCUAGGAAUCUGCCUGGUAGUGGGGGAUAACGUCCGGAAACGGGCGCUAAUACCGCAUACGUCCUGAGGGAGAAAGUGGGGGAUCUUCGGACCUCACGCUAUCAGAUGAGCCUAGGUCGGAUUAGCUAGUUGGUGGGGUAAAGGCCUACCAAGGCGACGAUCCGUAACUGGUCUGAGAGGAUGAUCAGUCACACUGGAACUGAGACACGGUCCAGACUCCUACGGGAGGCAGCAGUGGGGAAUAUUGGACAAUGGGCGAAAGCCUGAUCCAGCCAUGCCGCGUGUGUGAAGAAGGUCUUCGGAUUGUAAAGCACUUUAAGUUGGGAGGAAGGGCAGUAAGUUAAUACCUUGCUGUGUUGACGUUACCAACAGAAUAAGCACCGGCUAACUUCGUG
rnacentral:rRNA from 1 species